AUUGAACGCUGGCGGCAGGCCUAACACAUGCAAGUCGAGCGAGGGGCGGACGGGUGAGGACUGUCUGGGAACCUGCCUGUUGGAGGGGGAUAACUACUGGAAACGGUAACUAAUACCGCAUCCCAUCAGAUGUGGCCAGGUGGGAUUAGCUAGUAGGUGGGGUAACGGCCAACCUAGGCGACGAUCCCUAGCUGGUCUGAGAGGAUGAUCAGCCACACUGGAACUGAGACACGGUCCAGACUCCUACGGGAGGCAGCAGUGGGGAAUAUUGCACAAUGGGCGAAAGCCUGAUCCAGCCAUGCCGCGUGUGUGAAGAAGGCCUUCGGAUUGUAAAGCACUUUCAGCGGGGAGGCGUUACCCGCAGAAGAAGCACCGGCUAACUCCGUGCCAGCAGCCGCGGUAAUUC
rnacentral:rRNA from 1 species